GGCUCAGGACGAACGCUGGCGGCGUGCCUAAUACAUGCAAGUCGAGCGGACAGAUGGGAGCUUGCUCCCUGAAGUCAGCGGCGGACGGGUGAGUAACACGUGGGCAACCUGCCUGUAAGACUGGGAUAACUCCGGGAAACCGGGGCUAAUACCGGAUAAUUCUUUCCCUCACAUGARGGAAAGCUGAAAGAUGGUUUCGGCUAUCACUUACAGAUGGGCCCGCGGCGCAUUAGCUAGUUGGUGAGGUAACGGCUCACCAAGGCAACGAUGCGUAGCCGACCUGAGAGGGUGAUCGGCCACACUGGGACUGAGACACGGCCCAGACUCCUACGGGAGGCAGCAGUAGGGAAUCUUCCGCAAUGGACGAAAGUCUGACGGAGCAACGCCGCGUGAGUGAUGAAGGUUUUCGGAUCGUAAAACUCUGUUGUUAGGGAAGAACAAGU
rnacentral:rRNA from 1 species